UAGCUUGCUAAUAAUUCUCUAGUGGCGCACGGGUGAGUAACACGUGAGUAACCUGCCCCCAAGAGUGGGAUAGCCCCGGGAAACUGGGAUUAAUACCGCAUAAAAUCGCAAGAUUAAAGCAGCAAUGCGCUUGGGGAUGGGCUCGCGUCCUAUUAGUUAGUUGGUGAGGUAACGGCUCACCAAGGCGAUGACGGGUAGCCGGUCUGAGAGGAUGUCCGGCCACACUGGAACUGAGACACGGUCCAGACACCUACGGGUGGCAGCAGUCGAGAAUCAUUCACAAUGGGGGAAACCCUGAUGGUGCGACGCCGCGUGGGGGAAUGAAGGUCUUCGGAUUGUAAACCCCUGUCAUGUGGGAGCAAAUUAAAAAGAUAGUACCACAAGAGGAAGAGACGGCUAACUCUGUGCCAGCAGCCGCGGUAAUACAGAGGUCUCAAGCGUUGUUCGGAAUCACUGGGCGUAAAGCGUGCGUAGGCGGUUUCGUAAGUCGUGUGUGAAAGGCGGGGGCUCAACCCCCGGACUGCACAUGAUACUGCGAGACUAGAGUAAUGGAGGGGGAACCGGAAUUCUCGGUGUAGCAGUGAAAUGCGUAGAUAUCGAGAGGAACACUCGUGGCGAAGGCGGGUUCCUGGACAUUAACUGACGCU
rnacentral:rRNA from 1 species